CUUUUUUUUUUGAAAAUAAAAUUAAUAUUGUACCAAGUUUGAAACGGGUAUUUAUUAGCCCAGAAAUGAUCACACUCCAUAAUAAAUACUAGUCGUACUAGUCGUAUUUAUUGUCACAGGAAACGAUAUUUAUAAGGCAAUGAUGUGUUUGUUGUUAACUAUAGUUGCUAUGUCAUCAAUCCGCUUUGUUCAAUCUCAGACCAAACAUGUCUGCAGGUCUACGUAUUAUCAUCCUCUGCGCUUGCCGUUGCCGACGACGCGCUAAGACUGAUUUUUUUAUGAAAAAGUUGACAGCACUUUUCUGCGAUUUAUCCAUCUUGUUUACAUAAACUAAAAAAUCAUCUUAAAGGAAAGACCACGUAUACUGCGUUGGAAAUGAUUGCACGAUGUUCACAUAUCCUCACCCUUACAUUCAGACACAACAGAUACAAUUAUAUAUAUAUAUAUAUUUUUUUUUAAUUUUUUUUUGUCAAAAUGAUGUGGAUGCUUGAGCAUCUGAGCAUACAUGCAAGCUACGCCACUGGUAGGGGGUCAGUAGUUAACCGUAUAACGAAUUUAUCGGACGCUGGUCUUUUUCUGCGGCGUUUUGUUGAAAAAUAAACAAUGAAACACAACAACAUUAAUAGAUGACGUCGCCAUUAACGCG
rnacentral:lncRNA from 1 species